AAGAAACUAUUCGAAUUUACAUUUCUUGCCACUACUCACAGAUUUCGCAGCUGCGGUUUGGACUUAGCUGCAACAGUUAUCUUCUUUUAAAAAAAACAGAUGUGAUCAAGUCAAUUUUUUUCAGGCAUCCAGAUGAUUAUUAACAAAAAAAUUGUUUGAGCUGGAAUCUGAACUUCGUGUCCUGGAAAGCCUCUGGCAGCUGAAACUGGGGUAAGAUUUUGUAUUCUUUUAUCUUUAACUUGGAUGGGGGCAACCAGAGGUAUUAUUUUGUUGUUCAAAGAGUUGAAUCCAAACAGUCUUUAGGAGAAGAAGCAAAAAUUUACCUGAGAAAAGUUAUACAACAGCUUUCUGUGUAGGUUUUUUUCUUAUAUGUUGACAUAAAUACGUAGGUGAAACUCUGAACACCUGAAGAGGGCGAUUUAUGUACAUUUGAAUCUACAGAUUGAGAAUUCACUUCCAAACUCAAACGAACAGCAAUGCUCUCUAUUCAGAGAUCAUGUGGAGAGAUCCCAGAGCUUUUUACACAAAUUUCUAUCAUGGCCGCUGGAACUGGAAGCACUGCUCUUUUCACUGUGAUUUGUAGCUUGCUUCAAGGCGUGUACCCUUUUGCGCAAACAAGUUCUUCAACGCUGGACUUGGUUUCAGUUUGCUCAUACUGCUUUGGGCUGUGGAUAGACUCGGGAGGUGAUUACUUCGUGCAUACUUCUUCCAUGGGUAAAACAACACUAAACCCUAAAUACUAAACACUAAACUCUAAAUCUUUGGAUAAACCAUAAACCCUAAUGUUUAGUGUUUUUGAUUUAGGUUUUAGGAUGUAUCCAAGGAUUUAUGCUUUACCCAAGGAUUUAGAAUUUAUCUAAGGAUUUAAGAUCUAUGGUUUGGUGUUUUGCCGACUAUGUUAAAAAUAUUUAAAAAGUUUUUUUUUUUUUGCAGUUUGUACUAUGUUUUAUGUAUUUA